rnacentral:lncRNA from 1 species
AUGUGGUUCUGUGACUUCCCUGGUGGUUCAGAUAGUAAAGCAUCUGUCUACAAUGUGGGAGACCCAGGUUCGAUCCCUGGGUCAGGAAGUUCCCUGGAGAAGGAAAUGGCAACCCACUCCAGCAUGGAUGGAGGAGCCUGGUGUCCAUGGGGUCACAAAGAGUCGGACACGACUGAGCGACUUCACUUUCACUUUCUGUUGGGAAAGUACCUCUAGGACUGAUCAAACUGAAUGCUGUUUAUCUGGUAAAUAUUUUGGUUCUUGGGAACUACUAUUUAGGUCCUAGGUGUACACCACUGAGAGGGUAAAGAUGGUUUCAGGUUCUAGACAUUUUCUCUUUCUCACAGAUGUUUUUGAAGAUACAUAGAUUUGGUAUGCACGACUAGUCUUUACAAAGUGCUUCAAUACAAAUCCCAUAUGUCAGUUUUCCUUUCAACACCUCCUGAAAUUUCAUCCUUUCAAUGCAGCUGUUUCCUUGCUGUGACCAUGUCUUCACUCCCUGCUUGUCACAGAUUCUAGCUGACCAAUGAUGAGAAUUUGGAGUUCAUGGGAAAUAAACACUGAGUUCUACCUGGGGACGGUCUCCUUGGUCAUGUUGUUGAACAGACCCAGCACAUGGCUCUUGUUACCUGCAGCUUAUUGAAUCCUUGCUUUCAUGUUAAUUUCUAGCUCCAGCUACAACAACAACAACCACUACUCCAACAACUACCACCACUACCACUACUCAAAGAACAGGAGCCACGACUACUACUACUCAAAGAAAAGUGACCAUGACUGCUACACCUCGAAGAGAAACAACCGAGGCUAGUACUCCAACAACGACAGAAACUAUUCAGACAAAAACUACUACUUCAACAACCCCCGUCACCAGUACUCCAACGGCAACCACCACUAUUCCAAAAACGACCACCAGUACUACUCCAGUAACAACUGCCACCACUGCUUCAACAAUCACGAUGAUCACCACUGUUCCAACGACAAUGAAGGCUUCUACCUCUGCUCUUCCGAUGGCAACACCCACAGAGGACUUCCAGCCAGUACCUUCUCCAACGCAGGCUGCAGAAACCAAGCCUACCACACCAUAUGAAACAAAUAAAACUUGCUCACCAUCAUACUCUUGCUCAACAGAAACUACAUAGAAAGAGCCACAAGGCCCUCCCGCUGCCUUGUUAAGCUUUCAUUUCACAUGGACACUUUGAGAUGGGUUGAGAACAUGGACAGGAGAACCAAAGAGUCAUGCCCUACUAGGAUUGGGCUAUGCCACCAGAAAAGUCUCCCUGCUCUCCCCAAUUUUGGAAAAUCCAUAUUCUUUUCAGAGGGGCUGGUACAAGGUCCAUGGAUGAGCACCGACAAGGGAGUCUCCAUUGGAAUCUCUGUUGCUGUCUUGGUAGUAUUGCUCAUAUUUGUGGUAUUCUGGAUUAACAAAAGUAAGUCACCUCAGGACUGUGCCCACAGGAGUAUUCUUGAGCCAAACGACCUGUAG